rnacentral:rRNA from 1 species
GCCUACGGGCGGCAGCAGUGGGGAAUAUUGGACAAUGGGCGAAAGCCUGAUCCAGCCAUGCCGCGUGUGUGAAGAAGGCCUUCGGGUUGUAAAGCACUUUCAGUGGGGAAGAAAGCCUUGGGGCUAAUACCCUCGAGGAAGGACAUCACCCACAGAAGAAGCACCGGCUAACUCCGUGCCAGCAGCCGCGGUAAUACGGAGGGUGCGAGCGUUAAUCGGAAUUACUGGGCGUAAAGCGCGCGUAGGCGGUCUGAUAAGCCGGUUGUGAAAGCCCCGGGCUCAACCUGGGAACGGCAUCCGGAACUGUCAGGCUAGAGUGCAGGAGAGGAAGGUAGAAUUCCCGGUGUAGCGGUGAAAUGCGUAGAGAUCGGGAGGAAUACCAGUGGCGAAGGCGGCCUUCUGGACUGACACUGACGCUGAGGUGCGAAAGCGUGGGUAGCAAACAGGAUUAGAUACCCGAGUAGUC